GAGAUUGUGGCUCAGUGGUAGAGCGCUCACCUAGCACACGAGAGAGACUGGGUUCGAUCCGCAGCACCACA
rnacentral:tRNA from 1 species